AGUUUUCAUGCAAAUGUGAAGACAGAAAAGACAGCAGGGAGGUCACAUCAGUGGCUCAGGUCUAAGACCCAGUUCUGGCCCAGGGAGGACGCUGCCCGCGGGCCCCAGUGGAGGGCAGACGCCCAGGUGGUGGCGCGCUGGCACGAGGAGGACAGCUCCCGGUCCUCUCCUCUCUGCCGGGGCUCCCAUCCAGCGCUGAGGGCACACCAGUCAUCCAGAGCUUGGCCACCCGCCGCUGCUCCCUCCCUGCCUCUCAUGCUCUGGGAGGAUGGGAGGGGGUUUAUGGCCACUCCUGUGUCCUGCUUAAAGUGGUGGCGGUGACAGCAUUGGUCAGCAAUGGACUGAGAGAGAAGGAGCGUCUCAGGGUAGGGAGUGAUGGGGGCCUCAUGGUCUUGAGCCCCCUGACCACGUGGGUAGAAAUUCUGGAAAGUUCUCAGCAGGGCCUGCUUCUCUUGGCUUAUGUCCUAGCUGCAAGGGCCCUUGGACAGGCCACUUGCCUCCCCGACGCCUGGUUUCUUCCUCGCUGAAAAUGAGGUCAGAUGUGACCCCAGCAGGAUGGCUCAUCGAUGGAGACUCCAGCAGGCUCUGUGUCCCCACAGCCUCCGAGCUGCUGGGCACCGAGUAACGACACCGUCUGCAGGGAGGGACAGCAAUCCAGCCCACUGGUCAUCGCCUGCCUUCAGCAUCGUGUCCUCGUUCCCUGUUACCAGGAGGGGCAGAGACUGUGUUGCCCCGCCGGAUGCAGCCCUGGGACCAAGUUCUGGCCAAUAAAGGUGAACGGCAAUGCCAAGGGCAAUGGGAAGUGUCCUUAAACAUAGGGGCUGUGCUCUUCUUUGUCCCUUCUCCCUUCCUACCGGUUGGAACGUACAUGUGAUGGCUGGAGCUUAAGCAGGCAUCUUGGAUCAUGAGUAGGAAGCUAUAUUUGAGGACAGUAGAGCAACAAGACAGAAGGAGCCUGGGUUCCUGAUGACUGUGGCACCUCCAAAUCUGCCCUGGAGGCUUUAUGUGAAAGAGAAAGAAGCGUUUCCCUUGCUUAAGUUAUUGUUAUUUUGGAGUUUCUAUGGAGACUAAACCUAAUCCUGAGUGUUGGACUCGAGGGAAGAAUGGAGACUGGAGUUCCGGAAGCAGCUCCAGCGUAUGCUGGCGGUGUGGCCUCACUUCUCAGACGCGUCCUUUUUCUGCCUAUGAAGCCAUCACAUACCGCCCUGCCCAGGUGAGCACCCUGUCCACGGGGACGUCAGGAAGAUCGAGAGGUGGCUGUGCUCCCCGCAGCCCCCUAAGGGCUAACAGUAAAGGACAGACCAUCCCAAGUGCUGGCACAGGUGUGGCCACCAGAACCAGCCCACGCUGCUGGUGGGAGUGGCCGUCAGCUGCCCAUCGGAGGCCUGAACAUCUGGCUCCCCAGCAACCCUGCUGCCAGGCACAAACCCGGAAGACACACACUAGAAUGCUCAUGGCAUUAUUUGUAAACUCUGGAGAUCACCCACGUGUCCAUUAACAGGAGACUGGGCAAAUAAACUGUGACACACCCACAUGGCGGACUACAACACAGCAGGACCAGCCACAGGCACGCAGCGACACGAUGCAUCACACAGCUCGUGUUGAGAGGAAGAGGCCAGCCUCAGAGGACAGGCGGUGUGGCUCCAUUAAUCCGAAUACAAAGAUCAAGCAAAUCUUCAGGGACAGCGUGGGAGCUCCUCCGGGAUUUGAGAUGGAAGGGGCACGAGGGAGCCUCUGGGGGGCUGGCAGCUGUCUGGAUGGUGGUGGUUUCGCGGUGCACAUGAACAUAAAAAUGCACCCACCUGUAAACUUGUGGUCCGUGCGCUCACCUCAGGUUCAAAUGGACUUAAGCCGAAGAGACGUGCUCUGAGGAUGCAGAGCGUGGGUCUGCGCGACGGCCCUGCCACGGUAACCCCAGACCAGCCCUCGUUCCCCCUCCUCCGACCUCUUGUCCACCCUGAGACUCCCGGCUCUGCAGUGUCCCCAGGCCGAGCCCUCGUACGCACAGCAGCCACCUGCUCCCAUCCUCCCGAGGCUCCUUCCGGUCCAUUCUCUCUCUUCAACCUUGGCAGGCGCUGGCCUCCAUGGCCUUGGGUUGGGACUGCUCUGACAGUGCUGAGGGCACCUGCACGUCCCAACCCCCCACGCCAGAUGCUGCUCUUAAGGACUUACCCUCCCUGUGCAUCUCAUCCACCUGCCUGGGCUUCCUUCCGUGUGGGAAUCAGGCUCGACAAGGGCUUAGGCUCAGAGAAGCCAGGUCUGGAAUUGGCACUUCUGGUUCCAGGUCAUCAGGUCCCAAAUUCUGAUGCUGGCCAAGCCAGGGAUGGCAAACAGGGUCAUUUUAUGUGCUAGCUGCGGUUGAUUAGGAGGCUGCCUGGAGAAUGUGCUGAGAAAGAUUCUGAGGCCACUUCUGGACUCUGCAGGAAAGAGCGGCUGAUGUGUGAGUGGCACAUGUGAUGGAGGAAUGAGAGGCAAGCUUGCUGUCCCUGAGAGCCAUCCUCACUCUACACCCGCCUCUGCCCCUACACAGGCUCCUCGAAUUCCGCCAAACCCACCGCCACCUCCCCAACCACAGUGAAUGCUCGUGACAGCUCACGCGUAUCUAUGGAGCCUGUAAUUACCUAGCGCAAGACUCCGCUAAGCACAUCACCUACUUCUCUUCCCACCUGCCGAUAAGCCUCUUAUUACCGCCACGUGACAGGUGAGGGAUGGAGACGGGCUGCCUCGCCCAGGACCCCUGGCUCCCGAGAGGCAGACAUGGGGUGCACGUAGCCAGACCCCCAGGGCCACGUCCUCGGACUGUGGUUUCACCUCCACACUCCCCAUCUUUCCUCAUCUUCACCACCAUUCUAACUCCUACCUGCCCUCAAAGCCACCUCAAGUGCCACCUCCUUCCCUCAUCUCCAUUCUGAAAGGAAUCCUCUCUCUCCGGAACCUCUCAAGGGUCCUUGGCUCAGACUGCCUCAUCCUGAACUUAUGUGUGGCUUCACUGGACCGUGAACUUCAUGCCGGAAACACAUCCUUUCCUCCUUGGGGCCCCCUGGGUCUGAGCCCUGGCCCAGCAGAGAAGGGCCUCCCUGAAAAUGUUUGUUGAGUGAACAGACACCCUUUGCCUCAGAAGGAAGUGCUGUCUCUGACCUUGCCCUUGGCUCUGACCUUGCCCAGGCAAAAGGCAUGGUUCAUUCAUCUUCCAGUGUGUACUGAGUGCCUGGCAGAUUCAGGCACCAUGAAGAGACAACAGUGAACAAGACCGGUCCCUGCCCUUGGGACUUAUGGGACUUAUGCCCUGUGACAACUAUUUAAUGACAAUGGAACAUCCAGGAGGGCCUCCUAGAGGCGGUGGUGGCACCUGAACUUUGUGGCCCACGUGUGCUGACAGGUGCGCUGUUCCUCCUCUGCUCUGCCUCUUGUUGGAUUCAUCACUUGCAGGACGUCUUCCCACUGCUGGAAGGCUCUGAAUGGCUUUGCAGGAGGAAGGGGC
ensembl:lncRNA